rnacentral:pre_miRNA from 1 species
AGCACAAUUGCUGGAUCAUAUGAUAAGAAUAUGUUUAGUUUCCUAAGAACCUGCCAAACUCUUUUCCAAAGAGUCUGUCCCAUUUUACAUUCCUGUGAGCAAU